rnacentral:rRNA from 13 species
GAACAGCAGUUGGACACGGGUGAGCCGACCCUAAGAGACAGGAGAGGUACGAAAUCAAUAUGUGCAUCAAGUACGCACAAACCACAACAAUAAAUAGUACACAUGUUACAAUUGCGUUAGGUUCUGGAGCUGUAUAUAAUAAUAACACUGACCAGG